UCUCUUGAGUGAGUAGAGAGGAAAAAGAAGAGAGAGGAAGAGAGAACUUGUAAUAGUUUGGUAUUCUCCUCAUAGUGAAAACCCCCUCCUGUGAACGUAGGCAAGUUUGCCGAACCACGUAAAUCUGUUGUCUUGUCUUUUACUGAGAGUUGGUAUUGCUUAUAGGUUCCCUCGACAAGUCAGUCCUAUACUGAUGAGAGGUUGAGCUGGAACAAGAGUUGGCCAUUGCUUGUUGGAUCCAUCGACAUUCAGUCCUAGAACUGCUGAGAGGAAGAGUGUAUAUCUCACUUUGUUGAGAUAUUUAACUUUCUAUUCCUGUUUCCUUUGAGAAACAAGAAUAUAGAGGUUGACUUGUGCUUUCGUGAAAACGAAAGUCAGGGCUAUCUCUCAGGUGCUAUCGCUUCCGCGGCGUGAGGGCUUAACUCCGCCCCCAACAAACUACCUUAGGGCUUGCCUACUCGAAUAGAAGUGUGCAAUAUCUUGUUGUACACCAUCUAAACUAUAGCUCCCCGGGAAUUUCCUGUUUCUCAUUUUGGUGUCAGUUUAUAUGUUUGCUAAUACUUGGUAAUAUCGUUCAGUGCUCUAAUGUGGGGAUGGAUUAUGAUUCUGAUAUCGUAAACACUAAGCACAAUGUGGAGCUAGUAAGGUUCUUGUCAUUUAGCCUACUCUUGUUUACCUUAAAGGUAAGUGCGCUAUGUACCCAUGUCAUACAUAUGUAGGACACACUCACUUGCCCAACGGUGCCUCAACAUUUUUGGACACAUGGGAACCUAGUCGCUAAAAGCAAAUAAUUGGGAACCUGGCUUUGUUGAACCAUGAUCCUUGAAAAUGCAACAAGAUGUUCCUUCAACAUGCCAGAAUAUGGCUGCUCUGUGCACAUGCGUAUGCUUCUCUGCUUGCCGAGGUUAAGUGACCGAUGAUAGGAAGAAUGUCCUCAGUUCUUGCACGGAAGCCAAACGACUUCUGAAGCCAGACCCUAGGUACACUAAGAUGCGUAGAAAAGAAAGGGAGUCUCUCUGGAUCAGAUACUCUGACGACAUGAUCAGGAAGCAGAAACCAGCAGCUGACGCCGAAGAGAAAUCAGAUAGAGGAGGUAAAGAUAAAUCAUCGAGGAGGUCCCAUGGCUGGAGUAACUAACAGCGGAGGGAGCUCAUCUUUCUGGGAUUCGAUCUGUAUUAGCUUCCCCCUAGCACCAUUUUCCCUUGAAAGGUUAGCAGGUCGUUUCUUAGCAUCACUGAUUUGUAUUACAUCAACCAAAUGAGGGGUAUGGUGUAGAUUGUAGUGUACAAAAAGUGUUAUGUCAUGGCCUUGUUCUUCAUUGCUCUGCGUUUGCUGGUGAUAUCUUUAAUUGCAGAUGUUUUAUGCUGC